rnacentral:tRNA from 1 species
GGAGGGGUGGCCGAGUGGUCGAAGGCGCACGCCUGGAAAGUGUGUAGGCGGGCAACCGUCUCAAGGGUUCGAAUCCCUUCCCCUCCGCCA